GACAGAGGGUGCAAACGUUGCUCGGAAUCACUGGGCGUAAAGGGCGUGUAGGCGGGAAGGGAAGUCGGGCGUGAAAUGCCGGGGCUCAACCCCGGGACUGCGUCCGAUACUUCCGAGCUGGAGGUAGGUAGGGGAGAUCGGAAUUCCUGGUGUAGCGGUGAAAUGCGCAGAUAUCAGGAGGAACACCGGUGGCGAAGGCGGAUCUCUGGGCCUUACCUGACGCUGAGGCGCGAAAGCUAGGGGAGCGAACAGG
rnacentral:rRNA from 1 species